AUUGAACGCUGGCGGCAGGCUUAACACAUGCAAGUCGAGCGGGGUGAGGUGCUUCGGUACUGAUCCUAGCGGCGGACGGGUGAGUAAUGCUUAGGAAUCUGCCAUUUAGUGGGGGACAACAUUCCGAAAGGAAUGCUAAUACCGCAUACGUCCUACGGGAGAAAGCAGGGGAUCUUCGGACCUUGCGCUAAAUGAUGAGCCUAAGUCGGAUUAGCUAGUUGGUGGGGUAAAGGCCUACCAAGGCGACGAUCUGUAGCGGGUCUGAGAGGAUGAUCCGCCACACUGGGACUGAGACACGGCCCAGACUCCGACGGGGGGCAGCAGUGGGGAAUAUUGGCCACUGGGCGGAAGCCUGAUCCAGCCAUGCCGCGUGUGUGAAGAAGGCCUUUUGGUUGUAAAGCACUUUAAGCGAGGAGGAGGCUACCUGGAUUAAUACUCUAGGAUAGUGGACGUUACUCGCAGAAUAAGCACCGGCUAACUCUGUGCCAGCAGCCGCCGUAACAC
rnacentral:rRNA from 1 species